rnacentral:lncRNA from 1 species
UCAGCCUCAGGCCUCCAGAUUUGUCCUGCUCCAGGUUUGAGGAGGGAGUAGAGUGGGGACCACAGGGUGAGAUCAUUUGUCUGCAAAAGGAACGCAGAGCCGAGUGAAUCCACUUCUUGGUUUCUUCCUUCGUCUCACGUCUCUCUCCCUCUUUUCCUCCCGGCCCCCACCCACCCCCCUCAGGUCUGGUGGUCUCUCAGUGCUGCGUGGUCAGGCACCUCAAUCCUCGACUCCUUUCUACCCUACUCCGGAGUCCAAGGGUUAGAUUUUUCUUGUUGUAUCUCUCCCGGUUAACUUCUGCAGUCCGUCGGGGAGGUCGCAGGUACGAGCUAAUUGGUUAUGUUUUCUGUACCUGUGCCUGUGAGGUGUCCAGACUGGAAAGGGCGAGGGAAGGUUCUACGCUUAGGGUGGCGGUGAUAUGAAUAGCUCCGGCUCUGGCCCCGGGUCUGACCCGGCACAUUACCUGAGGACUUUAGUCGGUGAAAUGGUGCCCUGGACCUGGCCUCAAGAUCCCCGACUGGAGAAUCCGAGGGGAGCGAGCCCCUGGUCCGGUUCCUCUGUCGGCCCCCUUGGAGAGCAGAGAAGCGGUCCUGCUGAAGGGUCUGGGUCCCUGGAGCCGGAGCCGGAGCCAAAGCAGGAGAAACUGCUGCAGUUUCCCUGAGAGAUACACAAUGGCCAGUAAAAUCAUCAGAGAAAGAUUGUUAGAGUUUAGAAGCAUAUGGAAUUGAGAGUUUACCAAGUCCAACCCCUUCAUCUUACAAAUGAGGAAACUGAGGCUGAAGGAAAUGAAGGUUUGCUCAAGAUCACACGACUGGUAAGUCAUAGAGCCAGAAUCCCCCUCCCCCUUUGAUCGUGUGACUCCAAAUACAAUGAUCUUUUUGCUAAACCACACCACCUCUAGUAGGAGAAAAGAGGCAACGUGUGAAGUUCAGAAAAUGUGCAGACACGACAAUCGACACCCAUAGAAUGCAGCAUUCACUGACAGGACACCGCACUCUCAGGUCCCCAGCAGCAGCAACUCCUGAGCUCUAGAAGGAUAAGGGAAAGAAUCCUGGAGCCUCGUGUCUGAAGAGAAGAAUAGAUUGUAGAAGAAAAAAGAUUCAAAUGUGUAAUAAAACUUGGAUUGCUAAACUGUCUUUGGUCA